CCUACGUGUGGCAGCAGUGGGGAAUAUUGCACAAUGGGGGAAACCCUGAUGCAGCGACGCCGCGUGAGUGAAGAAGUAUCUCGGUACGUAAAGCUCUAUCAGCAGGGAAGAAAAUGACGGUACCUGACUAAUCAGCCCCGGCUAACGACGUGCCAGCAGCCGCGGUAAUACGUAGGGGGCAAGAGUUCUCCGGAUUUACUGGGUGGAAAGGGAGCGUAGACGGUAUCACAAGUCUGGAGUGAAAUCCCGGGGCUUAACCCAGGAACUGCAUUGGAAACUGUGCGGCUGGAGUGCAGGAGGGGUAAGCGGAACUCCUAGUGUAGCGGUGAAAUGCGUAGAUAUUAGGAGGAACACCAGUGGCGAAGGCGGCUUACUGGACUGUAACUGACGUUGAGGCUCGAAAGCGUGGGGAGCAAACAGGAUUAGAUACCCCUGUAGUC
rnacentral:rRNA from 1 species